rnacentral:rRNA from 1 species
AUUGAACGCUAGCGGCAGGCUUAAUACAUGCAAGUCGUGGGGCAGCAUGAUGUAGCAAUACAUUGAUGGCGACCGGCAAACGGGUGCGGAACACGUACACAACCUUCCUUUUAGUGGGGAAUAGCCCAGAGAAAUUUGGAUUAAUACCCCAUAACAUAUAGAGAUGGCAUCAUCUUAAUAUUAAAGCUUCGGCGCUAGAAGAUGGGUGUGCGGCUGAUUAGGUAGUUGGCGGGGUAACGGCCCACCAAGCCUACGAUCAGUAGCUGAUGUGAGAGCAUGAUCAGCCACACGGGCACUGAGACACGGGCCCGACUCCUACGGGAGGCAGCAGUAAGGAAUAUUGGACAAUGGACGAAAGUCUGAUCCAGCCAUGCCGCGUGAAGGAUUAAGGUCCUCUGGAUUGUAAACUUCUUAUAUUUGGGACGAAAAAAGAUCAUUCUUGAUCACUUGACGGUACCAGAUGAAUAAGCACCGGCUAACUCCAUGCCAGCCGCCGCAGUAAUAC